rnacentral:rRNA from 1 species
CUUGCCCCCGGGCCCGCGCCCGCCGAAGACACCCUCGAACUCUGUCUGAAGAUUGUAGUCUGAGUGGAAUUAUAAAUUGUUAAAACUUUCAACAACGGAUCUCUUGGUUCCGGCAUCGAUGAAGAACGCAGCGAAAUGCGAUACGUAAUGUGAAUUGCAGAAUUCAGUGAAUCAUCGAGUCUUUGAACGCACAUUGCGCCCCCUGGUAUUCCGGGGGGCAUGCCUGUCCGAGCGUCAUUGCUGCCCUCAAGCCCGGCUUGUGUGUUGGGUCUCGUCCCCCGUUCGGGGGGCGGGCCCGAAAGGCAGCGGCGGCACCGCGUCCGGUCCUCGAGCGUAUGGGGCUUUGUCACCCGCUCUGUAGGCCCGGCCGGCGCCUGCCGAUCAACCAAUUUCUUUCCAGGUUGACCUCGGAUCAGGUAGGGAUACCCGCUGAACUUAAGCAUAUCAAUAAGCGGAGGA